rnacentral:rRNA from 1 species
GAUGAACGCUGGCGGCGUGCCUAAUACAUGCAAGUCGAGCGAACGGACGAGAAGCUUGCUUCUCUGAUGUUAGCGGCGGACGGGUGAGUAACACGUGGAUAACCUACCUAUAAGACUGGGAUAACUUCGGGAAACCGUAGCUAAUACCGGAUAAUAUUUUGAACCGCAUGGUUCAAAAGUGAAAGACGGUCUUGCUGUCACUUAUAGAUGGAUCCGCGCUGCAUUAGCUAGUUGGUAAGGUAACGGCUUACCAAGGCAACGAUGCAUAGCCGACCUGAGAGGGUGAUCGGCCACACUGGAACUUAGACACGGUCCAGACUCCUACGGGAGGCAGCAGUAGGGAAUCUUCCGCAAUGGGCGAAAGCCUGACGGAGCAACGCCGCGUGAGUAAUGAAGGUCUUCGGAUCGUAAAACUCUGUUAUUAGGGAAGAACAUAUGUGUAAGUAACUGUGCACAUCUUGACGGUACCUAAUCAGAAAGCCACGGCUAACUACGUG